UUCUGGGACACCCUCCACUUCGCUUUCUCCUCCGGAAACGGAAACUGGGACAAGAGAGGGAGACGCGGUCUGCCACCUGCCGGUCAAGGCGCAGGUUCCGGGGGCGCCCCUUGCGUAUUCCAGGCUCCUUUGUUUUUCCAGCCUUAUAUCUUGUCCAUUUCUCUCAUCUACCGUUUAUAGAGUCACAUCAUACCUUUCCGAAAAUUAAUAUCCAAACACACGCACCAUCUCACAUUGUAAGGAAAACGGCCGUUUUCCCCCAGACCACUUCUGGCCACUGUCGAUUUUCUGCAAUAUGCUCUUCCAGAUUUUUCCCUCCGUUCCUACUACGGUAUUUUUUUUUUAAAGCCCCCAAACCAUAGGAGUCUCCUACGCAGGCUGCUCCUUUAUUUAACGAAUUGUAAACAUCACAUUCAGCUCCUGACGACUUGCAAGAAAACACGGAGUCAAUGGGGCGCGUCAUGUAACAGAAGGAAUUACUGUCGUUAUCAAAGCUACAGGCAGGCGCUGCGCGAGUCUCCGGGACCCCACUUUGCUGAUCUCCUUUUGAGGCUGAGGCCCCCGCAAGCUAGCGCCCGGCGUUUUCAAAGGUCGAGGGAGUGCUCUUCUGUCCCCGAGUUCUGGAGCGUUCUUGUUUCAGGAAAGGGUGUUCAGUUCCCGGAAGCACUGGCGGAGAACAUCCCGUGGCCAUGGGAACCAGCGGCACACAGACACGCGGACCCUCACCUUACCUGCGUUUCUCGUCCUUGCGUUUCUUCGCCCGCCGCAAGAGAUCCUCCGGCCCUCUGGACGUCUACACACACCGGGAGGGAUUAAGGAGUUAACAUUCGCCCAACGACCUCGACUCACGGGGUCAGAAGCUGCUGGAUUGAAUGCUCUCCGUGCCUUUGUCCUCUGUCUUGGGUGGAAACAUCUGAGGCACGUCCUACGUGGUUCCUCACCGGUGCCCACGUGGGACUGAGCCCGGGUCCCUAGUAGCACCCAGAUCAAUACCGCACCUUUGAGUCGGUUUCCUCUGGUCCUCAUUUCACCCAUCGGUCUCUGCUCCAGCUCCCUGACCACCUCCCCAAAUCACCUUGGUCUUGGGCUCUGACUUGGGGGAACCCAGGUAGCACAGUGAGUACUGUUUGUCUAUCUGAGACAACCUUCCUCAGCAUCCAAUAUCUCUCCACACCCCCCGGCUCUGUGGCAUUCUAAUUGACUCACUAAGCGAGCACGACUGUCCGAGGCAGGGCUUUCCAAUGAUUGAGAAUCCUCUAAAUCAGUGGUUCUCCUGGGGCGCCUGGGGGGCUCGAUCGGUUAAGCGUCCGACCUUCAGCCCAGGUCAUGAUCUCGAGGUUCACGGGUUCGAGCCCCACGUCGGGCUCUGUGCUGACAGUUCGGAGCCUGGAGCCUGCUUCGGAUUCCGUGUCUCCCUCUCUCUGCCCCUCCCUUGCUCAUGCUCUGUCUCUCUCAAAAAUAAAUAAACACUAAAAAAAAUUUAAAUCAGUGGUUCUCAAACGAGGGGAUCACCCCUCCCCAACCUCGGGGACAUUUGCCAAUGUCUGGAGCCAUGUUUGGUUGUCCCGAUGCUGGGGGUAUCUACGAGUGUGGUAGGCAGAAUAACGG